GCACUCUCAGUUCCUCCUGCACCAUGUCUGCCUGGAAGCUGCCAUGUUCCUGCCUUCAUGAUAAUGGACUGAACCUCUGAACCUUUUUCAUAGACCAUGCCAAGAUUGUCAGACAAGAAAAACAAAUCUAUCUGAAAACCAAGUGAAGGAAGGGAUGCUGCUCCGGUGAUAUCUAUAAUGCCUUUGUGUGUCUUGACCAACUCCGAAAAGCAAAUGCGAGCUCAGCCAUCCUCUGUGCCUGUCUUCUGCUAAAUGUGGAGCAUCAUGCCAUCCCAAGUGCCUGUUAGAACUCAGUGGUGACACCAAUACAGA
rnacentral:lncRNA from 1 species